rnacentral:rRNA from 1 species
UACGUAGGAUGCAAGCGUUGUCCGGAAUUAUUGGGCGUAAAGAGAACGUAGGUGGCUUGUUAAGUUCGGUCUUAAAGACCGGGGCUCAACCGCAAGAUUGCAUCUGAUACUGGAUUUCUUGAGGGUAUGAGAGGAAAGCGGAAUUCCUAGUGUAGCGGUGAAAUGCGUAGAUAUUAGGAGGAACACCAGUGGCGAAGGCGGCUUUCUGGCAUACAACUGACGCUGAGAUGCGAAAGCGUGGGGAGCAAACAGGAUUAGAUACCCCGGUAGU